CUGCGAGUGAAGCGGGAAAAGCUCAAAUUUAAAAUCUGGCAGGCAUUAGUCUGUCCGAGUUGUAAUCUAGAGAAGUGUAACCUGUGCUGGACUGUGUACAAGUCUCCUGGAAUGGAGCAUCAUAGAGGGUGAGAAUCCCGUCUUUGACAUGGACUACCAGUGCACUGUGGUUGCACACUCAACGAGUCGAGUUGUUUGGGAAUGCAGCUCUAAAUGGGUGGUAAAUUCCAUCUAAAGCUAAAUAUUGGCGAGAGACCGAUAGCGAACAAGUACCGUGAGGGAAAGAUGAAAAGAACUUUGGAAAGAGAGUUAAACAGUAUGUGAAAUUGUUGAAAGGGAAACGCUUGAAGUCAGCUGUGUUGGCCAGGGAUCAAGCUAGCUUAUCUGCUGGGUGUACUUCCUGGUUGACAGGCCAACAUCAGUUUUGACCAUCAGAGAAAGGCCAGGGGAAUGUGGCACCUUUUAUAGGUGUGUUAUAGCCCUUGGUUUGUAUGUGGUGGUUGGGACUGAGGAUAGCAGCGUGCCGCAAGGCCAGGUUUUGACCAUGUUCACGCUUUGGAUGUUGGCAUAAUGGCUUUAAGCGACCCGUCUUGAAACACGGACCAAGGAGUCUAACAUGCAUGCAAGUGUUUGGGUGGAAAACUCGAGCGCAUAAUG
rnacentral:rRNA from 1 species